rnacentral:rRNA from 1 species
AGACGAACCGGACAAACGUUAUUCGGAAUCAUUGGGCUUAAAGGGUGCGUAGGCGGUGCGGAAAGUUGGGUGUGAAAUCCCUCGGCUCAACCGAGGCACUGCGCUCAAAACUUCCGUGCUAGAGUGAGACAGAGGUGAGCGGAACUGAUGGUGGAGCGGUGAAAUGCGUUGAUAUCAUCAGGAACACCGGUGGCGAAGGCGGCUCACUGGGUCUCUACUGACGCUGAGGCACGAAAGCUAAGGUAGCGAACAGGAUUAGAUACCCUAGUAGUCC